CAGAGAUUUUUCUGGCUAAAAUAGUACCUGGCACAUAGUCAGUAUUUAAUAAAUGUUGGUUGAAUUUAUUUGUUUGUUUAUUUUGCUUAUAAUGAUAUUGAGGACAAGAAAUUCUUUGAGGACAUUUCUACGGCCCCUUCAACCCUUCUCAUUUAAUCAUCUCAACAACUGUUUAAUAUAUCUUGAUGAGGCCAAUCUUGUCCCUAGAAAACCUGUUCCAGCGUGUAAUGUGCUUGUAAUCAGGAUUCCUUCCUAUUCAUCCAAACUAUGUCUUUAACCAUGCACAGCUCAGAUAUUUUUGUUCAAUGAAGUAACAUAGAAACACAUACCUAAAUAAAAUAUCCUUCACUUCUCUGCAUUGCAAGGUCUCUCUAUUUUGUGGUAAGGUAGGCUAGAAGGAAAAGAAUAGGGCAGUUGAAAGUUUAUUUUGACUCCCUUAUUUCGAAUCUCUUCUUUGCCAUUCCUUGUUAUAUUUUCCCCCAUCGUGACAAAAGCCAUAUUAUGAAUGAAUCUUCAGCAAGUGGGUGACUUCCAUCAGUGGCAGAACUGUGAACAGUGAGAAGCUGGUUCCUUUCAAACUCCCCUAUAUGUUUUUCCACGUGGUUUUCUUGAGCCUCUGCCUCCCUAAGCACUUCAGGUCCAGGUUCAUUGUCUGCUGUGGCUGAUGUGGAAGGUUUGAAAUAUGACAGUAUGCCUGACUGCUUAGCCUCUGUAACGACUCACUGCAAAACAAAUGCAGGACGCUAUUUUCACCUUUUUUCGUAAAAGUGAAAAUCCUCUUCGGAUUUCUUCAGUGAAGACAGAAAAUAGAUGGCUCUCCAGGAACCAGGAAUUGGACCCUCACCAAACGUGGAAUCUGCCAGCAUCAGCACCUGAUCUUGCACUUCAGAUCCAAGUCUCUAGAACUCCAUGUGAGGACAUAGAGAGAAAAUGGCCGUGUCUGAAUCAGGAAGCAGGCUCUCACCAGACACCAAAUCUGCCAGCACCCUGAUCUUGGACUUCCCAGCCUCCAGAACUGUGAGAAAUAAAGUUUGUUGUUUAAGCCACUGAGUUUAUGCCAUUUUUGUUAGAACAGCCUGAACAGAUUAAGACACACAUCUCUUACAUGUUCCUAAAGUGGCAAAAAAAGGUAUAUGUUGAUUAAUAUGACCCAAACCUAUAGCCUGUCUACAGCAUAUAAAAAUGAAAAGCAGGCACCAGCCCGGUUGUGCAGUGGUUAAGUUCACAGGUUCCGCUUCGGCUGCCCUGGGUUUGCUGGUUCAGAUCCCAAGUGUGAACACGGCACCGCUUGGCAAGCUAUGCUGUGGCAGGCAUCCCACAUAUAAAGUAGAGGAGGAUGGGCAUGGAUGUUAGCUCAGGGCCAGUCUUCCUCAACAAAAAAGAGGAGAAUUGGCAGCAGAUGUUAGCUCAGGGCUAAUCUUCCUCAAAAAAAAAAAAAAAGAAAAAAAGAAAGAAAAAGUAUGUAAUAAUUAUCCAUUAAUUAACUCAAUUUAAUAUCAGGCCAAGGCUGGAUGGGGAAAGAGCUGGAAGAUGACAGUGGAUAAGACAAAAGAAUCAAAGAGAGCUUUGAGGUUUUGAUUUUGGGUUGCUCCAGGGAUGGGAAUGCCAGGAAGAGAGAGAAAGAUUGCAAGGUGGUUAGCACAUUUCCUGGAAGGUGAUGAUUUUCGUUUGGGACAUAAGGAGUUGGAGAUGUCAAAACAAUCAGAGGGAAACGGCCAGCAAGCAUUUGGCCAUACAUCACUAGCUAUUUGAAAGACCUGUCAGGGCAUUUAUUUGGGCUGGGUCUUAAAUGGUGACAGAUUUGUGAAUUGUCUUUAUUGGGGUGAUAGUUGAGGUCAUGCAAAUAGAUGAAAUAGCCAAAGUGAACAUUUAGAGAAACAAAUUUGCUUCAGAACUUAAUUGUUAUUCUGUGAAUAAGUAUUACUUCAUUUGUUCCUGAAAAAGUGUUUCUUAUAAUGGUUUUAAAAGUGCAAAAGCCAAAAGAGGCUAUCAACAUAGCAUGGUCAGGUUUGAGGUCAACAACACAAUGUAAAAAAAACAUGUUGGUGAAUCCCUAAACCAGACUCAGAGAAGUAUGCCAGUUUCACCCUCCUUCUCUCUACUUGGAACUUUCUUUUGCAUUGGUUUCCUUUACUCUGUGACUUGCUUGAUUUUUUAGCACGUUAAUUUCUUGUUGUGCCUGACUUGGAUCUGUAUAACAUUGUUCUGAU
ensembl:lncRNA